rnacentral:rRNA from 1 species
GACAGAGGGGGCAAGCGUUGCUCGGAAUUACUGGGCGUAAAGGGCGCGUAGGCGGAAUGGCAAGUCGGUCGUGAAAUCCUUCGGCUCAACCGAAGAACGUCGAUCGAAACUGCCGUUCUUGAGGAUUGCAGAGGAGACUGGAAUUCCCGGUGUAGCGGUGAAAUGCGCAGAUAUCAGGAGGAACACCGGUGGCGAAGGCGGAUCUCUGGGCCUGUUCUGACGCUGAGGCGCGAAAGCUAGGGGAGCGAACAGG